UGUGCGAUAUACGCAGCUUGGGUCGGAGGCUUCUCUAUGUCAGUGGAACAUAGAAUGUUAAUCAAAGUUGGAAUGGACUGAGAACCUGUUCCUCUAGUGUCUGAGUUUACCAUUCCCCCUCUUUUUAGAAUUUCCUCUGCAGAUAACUAGCUAUGUGACUCUGAAAAGGUGGCUUAACCUUUCUAACCCUCAGCAUCUCUAUCUGUAAAAUGAGAACACACAAAAGGUAACUGUGAGGAUUAAAUAAGAUAAUGCAUAACAGGACACUUUUAACACACUGCCCUGGAAACACAGUAGCUAUCUGAGGAAUGUUAGCUCUUGCUAUCAUUAGUUGAAUAAUAACAACAAAAUAAUAAAUCAGAUGCAACAUGGAGAAACAGUAGAUCAGAACUUUGGAGGCUCUAAUCUUGAUUUUCUCACUAAAUCACUUUGUGUCCUUUGAUAAGUCACAUUAUCUCUCUGAGACUUGGUGUCUCCACUAAAAAAUAAAGGUUCCAAACAAGAUAAAUAUACCACUCUCUCCAGGUCUCAUAUUUCUUGUCUCUUUGGCUUUAAUUUGUGAAGUUUUGUUAUGGUAGCAUAUUUACCUUCUCAUGUUUUACUUUGAUUAAAAUUAUAAUUCAGGCCAGGCGCAACGGUGGCUCAGGACUCUAAUCCCAGCACGUUGGGCGGCCGAGGCAGGCGAAUCACUUGAAGCCAGGGGUUCGAGACCAGCCUGGCCAACAUAGCAAAACCCUGUCUUUACUAAAAAUACAAAAAUUAGCCAGGCGUGGCGGCGUAAGCCUGUAGUCCCAGCUAUUCAGGAGACUAAGGCAAGGGCCUCACCCCCAAAUUCCUGUUGAAAGUAAAUCACCAAUAUGAUAGUAUUAGGAGGUGGGGCUUUGAGAGAUGAUUAGGUCAUAUGGGCAGGGCCGUAAUGAAUGGAACUAGUGCCCUUAUGAAAGAGGCCCUAGACACAGCAAAGGCCCCAUCUAUGAACUAGACAGCAGGCCCUUGGCAGACAAUCUGCAAAAUAAAUUUCUGUUGUUUAUAAACUACCCAGUUUAUGGUAUUAUGUUAUAGCAGGUCAAACAGACUAGGACAUGUGACAAACAACGCAAUGAUUUAGUAGUGCUGACACAAACCACACUUUUUUUUCCCAUGCAGCCUUGAUCUAACUCUGGGUUGUCUUUUACAAUUUUUUCAUGGUCUUUCCCUUUGUUUAACUUUCAGCUAUAU
rnacentral:lncRNA from 1 species